rnacentral:rRNA from 1 species
GUUUGACCCCCCGAAACCAGGCGAGCUACUUCUAAACAGCCACAAGCCAACCCUUCUCCGUCGCAAAGGAGUGGGAAGAUUUAAAAGUAGAGGCGACACACCUACCGAGCCUGGAGAUAGCUGGUUAUUUAGGAAAAGGAUCUAAGUCCACCUCUAAGUUUUUUUAGUGCACCCAGACAAAAAUAAACUUACAAGUCAUUCAAAUAAGGUACAGCCUACUUGAAUAAGGAAACAGCCUGCAACACAGGGUAAUGCCCACCCCCGUGAUCAGGUGGGCCUAAAAGCAGCCAGCCUUCAAAAAGCGUCCAAGCUUCAUCACUACAACAGAUAAUUAUAUUAUCAACCCACAACCCUCAACCACUACUAAAUAACCUCAUAUUCAUAUGAGAGAUAUUAUGCUAGAACUAGUAACAAGAAGAAGCACUUCUCCUAGAUAAAAGCUUAAGCCACAGUGAACCGUUCGCCGGCAAUUACCGCCACUAAC